GUGGGGAAUAUUGGACAAUGGGGGGAACCCUGAUCCAGCCAUGCCGCGUGGAGGAUGACUGCCCUCUGGGUUGUAAACUCCUUUUGUACAGGAAGAAACCUCCUCAUUAAUGAGUGAGCUGACGGUACCGUAAGAAUAAGCACCGGCUAACUACGUGCCAGCAGCCGCGGUAAUACGUAGGGUGCGAGCGUUAAUCGGAAUUACUGGGCGUAAAGCGUUCGCAGGCGGUGAUGUAAGACAGUUGUGAAAUCCCCGGGCUCAACCUGGGAACUGCAGCUGUGACUGCAUUGCUGGAGUGCGGCAGAGGGGGAUGGAAGUCCGCGUGUAGCAGUGAAAUGCGUAGAUAUGCGGAGGAACACCGAUGGCGAAGGCAAUCCCCUGGGCCUGCACUGACGCUCAUGCACGAAAGCGUGGGGAGCAAACAGGAUUAGAUACCCCAGUAGUCC
rnacentral:rRNA from 1 species